GACGAACGCUGGCGGCGUGCUUAACACAUGCCAGUCGAACGGAAAGGCCCUUCGGGGUACUCGAGUGGCGAACGGGUGAGUAACACGUGGGUGAUCUGCCCUGCACUUUGGGAUAAGCCUGGGAAACUGGGUCUAAUACCGAAUAGGACCACGCGCUUCAUGGUGUGUGGUGGAAAGCUUUUGCGGUGUGAGAUGGGCCCGCGGCCUAUCAGCUUGUUGGUGGGGUAAUGGCCUACCAAGGCGACGACGGGUAGCCGGCCUGAGAGGGUGACCGGCCACACUGGGACUGAGAUACGGCCCAGACUCCUACGGGAGGCAGCAGUGGGGAAUAUUGCACAAUGGGUGCAAGCCUGAUGCAGCGACGCCGCGUGAGGGAUGACGGCCUUCGGGUUGUAAACCUCUUUCACCAGGGACGAAGCGUAAGUGACGGUACCUGGAGAAGAAGCACCGGCCAACUACGUG
rnacentral:rRNA from 1 species